rnacentral:rRNA from 1 species
UGGGGGAUAUUGCACAAUGGGCGAAAGCCUGAUGCAGCGACGCCGCGUGGGGGAUGAAGGCUUUCGGGUUGUAAACCUCUUUCGCUAUCGAACAAGGCCCGCUUAGGGUGGGUUGAGGGUAGGUGGAGAAGAAGCGCCGGCUAACUACGUGCCAGCAGCCGCGGUAAUACGUAGGGCGCGAGCGUUGUCCGGAAUUAUUGGGCGUAAAGGGCUUGUAGGCGGCUUGUUGCGCCUGCUGUGAAAACGCGGGGCUUAACUUCGCGCGUGCAGUGGGUACGGGCAGGCUUGAGUGUGGUAGGGGUGACUGGAAUUCCAGGUGUAGCGGUGGAAUGCGCAGAUAUCUGGAGGAACACCGAUGGCGAAGGCAGGUCACUGGGCCAUUACUGACGCUGAGGAGCGAAAGCAUGGUAGCGAACAGG